rnacentral:miRNA from 1 species
UGGGAGCCAUGAGGGUCUGUGC